CCUACGGGGGGCUGCAGUGGGGAAUAUUGCACAAUGGGGGAAACCCUGAUGCAGCGACGCCGCGUGAGUGAAGAAGUACUUCGUUACGUAAAGCUCUAUCAGCAGGGAAGAAAAUGACGGUACCUGAGUAAGAAGCCCCUGCUAACUACGUGCCAGCAGCCGCGGUAAUACGUAGGGGGCAAGCGUUAUCCGGAUUUACUGGGUGUAAAGGGAGCGUAGACGGUGCGCCAAGUCUGGAGUGAAAUGCCGGAGCUUAACUGCGGAACUGCUUUGGAAACUGGCGAGCUAGAGUGCGGGAGGGGGAAGUGGAAUGCCUAGUGUAGCGGUGAAAUGCGUAGAUAUGAGGAGGAACACCGGUGGCGAAGGCGGCUUACUGGACAGUGACUGACGUUGAGGCUCGAAAGCGUGGGGAGCAAACAGGAUUAGAUACCCUGGUAGUC
rnacentral:rRNA from 1 species